ACACAAUUCCCACGGCCUUCCACUCCAACCCUAGCCUUGCACGUCUCUCACUCAACCGCCGUCAUUCUCCCUAAAACCCGUCGUCUCUCUCAUGCCUCUAUCACUGCGCCACGCCCCCUGCUCAGCUGUCAUCGCCGCUGUCACCCCUGCUCGGCGCCUCUGCCUCCGCCUUGAACCAGUUUAGUCGCCACCUGCCGUCAUCCGCUUCACCAAUUCAGUGGUCGCAGUGCUGCAACAGCCCUGCUCGAAUGUCAUCGCCGCUCUCACCGCCCUGCUCGGCUGCCGCCUCCGCCUUGAAUCAGUUGAGUCGCCACGCCACCGCCCUGAAUUGAUUUAAUCUGCACUGUCAUAUCAUUCUCGCCAUCAUUAAUUGAUUUUUAGGCAUGUAAGAAUGUAUUUGUUACAUAACUUCAUAUGUUCUGCACUAAAAAAUUGUCAGUAUCACUUAAUUGUUGUUAUUAUAUCAUUAUUUCCUUUUAAAAAAAUAAGUAUCAUCUUUUAGGAUUGUAGAUGUUAAAUACGCAAAGGAUGAUUUGUUUAUAUCAUCUUUAACUCUUGCUUACACCACUUUGCGUAUAAACAAGUUAUUAGUUUUAAUGACUUGGAAUACUUGUUUAUCUCUUGCUUACAUCACUUUUUUAGUGAAAAUGAUGGCAAGGACAAAUGCGAGUGUGGCUUUGUAGUCAUGCACUUAUUUGCGUUAACUUGUUUAUGCUCAAGGAUUAGGGAUAUCUAUCUCAAUUACCAGUUCUUUUAUCUUGAUAUUGUUCGUUAAAACAUGUUGGAAUCAUGUGUUCUUGUAGUUUAUGCAAGGGAGUACGGGUGGGUGCUAAUCUUGAGGUUAUCUUUAUAGCCAAUGUAGAAAAAUCUGAAUUUGUCACCUUUGUAUAUAUAUUGUACCUGUCACCUGAAGCCAGAAUGGUUCGCUUAAAAUUGUCCAGGGUGUACCCUGGCAAUUUGAGAUACAUGGGUGUGAAUCAAAAUAUAUUUGCUAACAAAAUGAGAAUAGCCUCCUCGAUGUGGUCAAAGAAUGUCGAACGUCAUCUGUUAAGCUUCUAGGAUUGAAUAUAUAUUUGAAUCAUGUUGGAUUGAUAAAGAUUAUUUAACAUUGAAUUAUAUUUACCUGGUGCUCUGCUUUUACUGUUUCUUAUCUGCUGCUUAAGCUUUGAUCUAAGCUUUCUCUUUGAUUAUUUCUAGAUGGAACCAUCUAUCCUUAUGAAAAUUAUGACAUAGGAAAACACUAAGCUUCUCAUUGAUUCAUCGAAAUUUGGUGCAGAUGAUUUGUUUAUGCUAAAUAGUAUUCAAAGUUUUGUUGUAAUAUAAAGGAUCAUCGACUUGUUAAUAGACUCAAACUACUUAAAAGUAUUAGUGGAUAUAAUGCUUUGUUUAAGGGAAGAUUUGUUUUAUUUGUUGAGUUUUUUUCCGGAUAGUUAGUGAAUCUGAGCAGUAAAUUUGUAAAAAUCUGUAGUUAAUAUUUUGCAUUGAACAUGUAGAUCGCCAUAUUAACAUAGAUUAGUUCUCCAAAUAAUAUUUAUUAGGACUGGUGGUCUAGAUAUGUUCAUAACAGAGAGAGAGCAGAGAGUCUAUAUUGUUUCAGAGAUGGAUAUUUUAAGGCUAUCUAUCUUGAAAAUCAUAUAAGUUUAGAAUAUCUAAUUUUGUAUAUAUAUAUUCAUGAGUGGUGGAAGUUGAGUUUGUUAGUCUUGACUUCUUGAUCUUUGGCUUUUCUCACAAGUUGAGUAAUUUAUAUGUAGAUUAUAUGCAAUGAGUAACUGAAGGUGCAAUUUUCAAUUGACUUAUUGUAUGCAUGCUAUCAGUGUUGUCAUGUAAUUGUAUUUUUUGGGCAAUUCCACUCACAAUCAUGAAUAUUUCAUUGAUAUGCUAAACUUAUAUUUGCUCAUAUUGAUGCCUCAUUUGUUUCCGCAUAAUUCAUCUUUGUUGCUGCAAGGUGAGUGCUCUUUUGUAGCUAUGGUCAUUCCGUUUGUUUAUUGCAUGAAGAGUCAAUAUUUUGGAUGAACGAUUGCUUUUCAGUUUGCAUUCGAAAGCCUCAUGCAAGAGACUGUUGCAUCAAUGGCCCGAUAAUAUGUGCGCAACAUCAUAUCAUCUGUUCAGAGGGUUGCCUUAGCUCUCUCUUCGGUUCACCUUGUACCUAAUGCUGGUCUUCGGUCACCCAUCUGUGGUUCCAUAUUUUUUAUUGAAUGGAUAACUGAGUUUUUUAUUGGAUGAAUAACUUUUGUUUUUUGUUGAAAGGGCUAUUUUUAUAUUCAAUGCCAAAUUGGAGAAAAGAGAUAAAAAAACAACCUAUUUGGGAUAUUAUAAAGUCUCCAAGACAACUUGAUUUCAAGCAAUGUGGAUUUUUCAAGAUGCGUUACAUGAAAGAAAUUAUUGAAGAGCUUAUGAAGAAUGGUCGCUUUUGCCUAUACAUUCACAUGAUAUUGAUGAAGUUCGUGUUGAGUGGGUGAAUCUCAUUCUUAGUCACAUAUAAAAAGUAGAGGAUAUGCUGGAAAUGAAGCAAAAACAGGAGACUUUUGCUGAAUUUUCCAUGAAGAUUCUUCAACAAUAGACUACUAGAUAUUGUUUUGAAAAAAAAUAUUGUACUCUUUGUUUUGUAUAUUUAAUCUCUUGUCGUUCUUAGCUUCAUUUCAGUGUACAUUAACAGAAUAUGAAAUAUUGUGAAAUUAUAUAUGACAAUUAUAAUUUUUUAGUGUA